rnacentral:piRNA from 1 species
UAAAAUUUCUCUGUAUGUGCA